rnacentral:rRNA from 1 species
UGGGGAAUUUUGGACAAUGGGGGAAACCCUGAUCCAGCCAUCCCGCGUGUGCGAUGAAGGCCUUCGGGUUGUAAAGCACUUUUGGCAGGAAAGAAACGUCGCGGGUUAAUACCCCGCGAAACUGACGGUACCUGCAGAAUAAGCACCGGCUAACUACGUGCCAGCAGCCGCGGUAAUACGUAGGGUGCAAGCGUUAAUCGGAAUUACUGGGCGUAAAGCGUGCGCAGGCGGUUCGGAAAGAAAGAUGUGAAAUCCCAGAGCUUAACUUUGGAACUGCAUUUUUAACUACCGGGCUAGAGUGUGUCAGAGGGAGGUGGAAUUCCGCGUGUAGCAGUGAAAUGCGUAGAUAUGCGGAGGAACACCGAUGGCGAAGGCAGCCUCCUGGGAUAACACUGACGCUCAUGCACGAAAGCGUGGGGAGCAAACAGGAUUAGAUACCCUGGUAGUCCACGCCCUAAACGAUGUCAACUAGCUGUUGGGGGCCUUCGGGCCUUGGUAGCGCAGCUAACGCGUGAAGUUGACCGCCUGGGGAGUACGGUCGCAAGAUUAAAAA